GGGAGUGUACCCAAGCGGCCAAAGGGGACAGACUGUAAAUCUGUUGGCUCAUGCCUUCGGAGGUUCGAAUCCUCCCGCUCCCA
rnacentral:tRNA from 1 species